rnacentral:rRNA from 1 species
CUUGGAACAGAAUGUCAAAGAGGGUGAGAAUCCCGUCUUGGAUCGGCGGUAGGGCCUGUGUAAAACUCCUUCGACGAGUCGAGUUGUUUGGGAAUGCAGCUCAAAAUGGGUGGUAAAUUUCAUCUAAAGCUAAAUAUUGGCCAGAGACCGAUAGCGCACAAGUAGAGUGAUCGAAAGAUGAAAAGCACUUUGAAAAGAGAGUUAAACAGUAUGUGAAAUUGUUGAAAGGGAAGCGCUUGCAACCAGACUUGCACGCGGCGGUUCCCCGCGCCUUUUGGCGCGGCUACUCCGUCGUGUUCAGGCCAACAUCGGUUUCGGGGGCCAGUUAAAGACCUUGGGAAUGUACCUACCCACGGGUAGACUUAUAGACCAGGGUGUCAUGUGGCCUCCCGGGACCGAGGAACGCGCUUCGGCUCGGAUGUUGGCGUAAUGGUUGUCAGCGACCCGUCUUGAAACACGGACCAAGGAGUCUAGCAUCUACGCGAGUGUUUGGGUGUCAAACCCGGAACGCGCAAUGAAAGUGAACGGAGGUAGGAAGCUUUGCUGCACUAUCGACCGAUCCUGAAGUUUACGGAUGGAUUUGAGUAAGAGCGUACAUGCUGGGACCCGAAAGAUGGUG